rnacentral:rRNA from 1 species
ACGGAAGGCAGCAGUGAGGAAUAUUGGUCAAUGGGCGGAAGCCUGAACCAGCCAAGUCGCGUGAAGGAUGAAGGUAUUAUGUAUUGUAAACUUCUUUAGAUGCAGAGAAAUAAGCCCCUCGUGAGGGGUGAUGCUAGUAUGCAUAGAAUAAGGAUCGGCUAACUCCGUGCCAGCAGCCGCGGUAAUACGGAGGAUCCGAGCGUUAUCCGGAUUUAUUGGGUUUAAAGGGUGCGCAGGCGGAGGAUUAAGUCAGCGGUGAAAUUCUCAUGCUCAACAUGAGAACUGCCAUUGAUACUGGUCCCCUUGAGAGAUGUCGAGGAUGGCGGAAUGUGAUGUGUAGCGGUGAAAUGCUUAGAUAUGUCACAGAACACCGAUUGCGAAGGCAGCUGUCCAGAGAUCUUCUGACGCUCAGGCACGAAAGCAUGGGUAUCAAACAGGAUUAGAUACCCUGGUA